rnacentral:rRNA from 1 species
AACGAACGCUGGCGGCAGGCCUAACACAUGCAAGUCGAACGCCCCGCAAGGGGAGUGGCGCACGGGUGAGUAACGCGUGGGAAUAUGCCCUUCGGUUCGGAAUAACACAGGGAAACUUGUGCUAAUACCGGAUACGAUCUACGGAUGAAAGAUUUAUCGCCGAGGGAGUAGCCCGCGUAGGAUUAGCUAGUUGGUGAGGUAAUGGCUCACCAAGGCGACGAUCCUUAGCUGGUCUGAGAGGAUGAUCAGCCACACUGGGACUGAGACACGGCCCAGACUCCUACGGGAGGCAGCAGUGGGGAAUAUUGGACAAUGGGCGAAAGCCUGAUCCAGCCAUGCCGCGUGAGUGAUGAAGGCCUUAGGGUUGUAAAGCUCUUUCGCCAGGGAAGAUAAUGACGGUACCUGGAAAAGAAGCCUCGGCUAACUCCGUGCCAGCCGCCGCGGUAA